rnacentral:rRNA from 1 species
GCAUAUCAAUAAGCGGGAGGGAAAAGAAACUAACAAGGAUUCCCCUAGUAACUGCGAAGUGAAGCGGGAAAAGCUCAAAUUUAAAAUCUGGCGGUCUUCUGGCCGUCCGAGUUGUAGUCUGGAGAAGCGUUUUCCGCGUUGGACCGUGUACAAGUUUCCUGGAACGGAGCGUCAUAGAGGGUGAGAAUCCCGUCUUUGACACGGAUCCCAAUGCUUUGUGAUGCGCUCUCAAAGAGUCGAGUUGUUUGGGAAUGCAGCUCAAAAUGGGUGGUGAAUUCCAUCUAAAGCUAAAUAUUGGCGAGAGACCGAUAGCGAACAAGUACCGUGAGGGAAAGAUGAAAAGCACUUUGGAAAGAGAGUUAAACAGUACGUGAAAUUGUUGAAAGGGAAACGCUUGAAGUCAGUCGCGUCGGCCGGGACUCAGCCUUGCAUCCGCUUGGUGUACUUUCCGGUCGACGGGCCAGCAUCAGUUUUGACCGCGAGAUAAAGGCGGAGGGAAUGUGGCUCUCUCGGGAGUGUUAUAGCCCUUCGUCAGAUGUCGCGGUUGGGACUGAGGAACUCAGCACGCCUUUAUGGCCGGGGCUCGCCCACGUACGUGCUUAGGAUGCUGGCGUAAUGGCUUUAAACGACCCGUCUUGAAACACGGACCAAGGAGUCUAACAUGCCUGCGAGUGUUCGGGUGGAAAACCCGUGCGCGCAAUGAAAGUGAAAGUUGGGAUCCCUGUCGUGGGGUGCACCGACGCCCGGCCCAGACCUUUUGUGACGGAGCUGCGGUAGAGCAUGUAUGUUGGGACCCGAAAGAUGGUGAACUAUGCCUGAAUAGGGUGAAGCCAGAGGAAACUCUGGUGGAGGCUCGUAGCGAUUUCUGACGUGCAAAUCGAUCGUCAAUUUGGGUAUAGGGGCGAAAGACUAAUCGAACCAUCUAGUAGCUGGUUCCUGCGA